ACCGUGGUAAUUCUAGAGCUAAUACAUGCUAAAAACCCCGACUUCGGAAGGGGUGUGUUUAUUAGAUAAAAAACCAAUGCCCUUCGGGGCUCUUUGGUGAUUCAUGAUAACCUAACGGAUCGCAUGGCCUUGCGCCGGCGACGGUUCAUUCAAAUUUCUGCCCUAUCAACUUUCGAUGGUAAGGUAUUGGCUUACCAUGGUUUCAACGGGUAACGGGGAAUUAGGGUUCGAUUCCGGAGAGGGAGCCUGAGAAACGGCUACCACAUCCAAGGAAGGCAGCAGGCGCGCAAAUUACCCAAUCCCGACACGGGGAGGUAGUGACAAUAAAUACUGAUACAGGGCUCUUUUGGGUCUUGUAAUUGGAAUGAGUACAAUUUAAACCCCUUAACGAGGAACAAUUGGAGGGCAAGUCUGGUGCCAGCAGCCGCGGUAAUUCCAGCUCCAAUAGCGUAUAUUAAAGUUGUUGCAGUUAAAAAGCUCGUAGUUGAAACUUGGGUCUGGCUAGCGGGUCCGCCUCACCGCGUGCACUUGUCCGGCUGGACCUUUCCUUCUGGAGAACCUCAUGCCCUUCACUGGGUGUGUUGGGGAACCAGGACUUUUACUUUGAAAAAAUUAGAGUGUUCAAAGCAGGCCUUUGCUCGAAUACGUUAGCAUGGAAUAAUAGAAUAGGACGUGCGGUCCUAUUUUGUUGGUUUCUAGGAUCGCCGUAAUGAUUAAUAGGGAUAGUCGGGGGCAUCAGUAUUCAAUUGUCAGAGGUGAAAUUCUUGGAUUUAUUGAAGACUAACUACUGCGAAAGCAUUUGCCAAGGAUGUUUUCAUUAAUCAGUGAACGAAAGUUAGGGGAUCGAAGACGAUCAGAUACCGUCGUAGUCUUAACCGAAA
rnacentral:rRNA from 1 species